CAGAACUCCCAGGGGACCCCAAGGCUUCAGCCAUGAUGUCCAGGAGGAUAGUAGGACCCUGAAGAGGGAUGGAGAGAAGCAGAAGGAGAGAAGAUGCCCAGCAUGGGACCUGCUGAGCCCAGUGUCAAGGUGCAGCCUCCAGUUACAGCACAAAACCAGAAGGCAUCCUGUUAGCCAAAGUUAAUGUGAUUGUGAAGUGCAAUUUAACAUCAACCAACAUUUUCUGAGCACCCAUUCUGAGCCAAAUUCUGUGCUGGGAUCUAGGAAGACGAAAGCAAGUAAGACCCAAUUUCUGCCUUCAAGAGUUCUUCUAAGGGAAGAAACAGACACAAAGAGAUCAUCGGAACACAACACUGUACGUGCUAGAAUGAGGGAAGGGAAGAUACUAUAGAAGUGCAGGAAAGCAAAGGGUGACUUAUGCCACAAAAGAGGACAUUUGAGCAACACCUUCAUGGAUAAGCUCACCUAUCAGGAAAAAGAGGAAGUGAGUAAUUCAGGGAAAAGCAGCAGCCAUAUGCAAAGGCAUAAAAGAAAUAAACAGGGUGGUGCAUUCAGGAAACUGCCAAAUGAUUCUGUUAGCUGGAGGAGGGGAAGAUGAAAAUGUUAAGAGAUGAGGAAGGAUGAAAGAAGUUAGGGCUCAAUGACACUGUUAUACUUAAUGCUUAGGAGUUUUAACUUUAUAGGCUGGAGAGAAAAAUGAGAA
rnacentral:lncRNA from 1 species